UUUUUUUUUUGGCUGUGCCCAAGGCAUGCGCAAGUUCCCAGGCCAGGGAUAGAAGCAGCAACCUGAGCCACAGCAGUGACAACACCAGACCCUUAACCUUCUGAGCCACCAGGGAGCUCCUAAGCUGGGUCUUAACAGUGAAAUGUGUCUUUAGAAGAAAAAUGUGUACAAAAUCUUUAUGUAAAUACAUGGAAACAAGAUGUGUCAGUUGCUUCAGUGUCUGCCCCAAAUCAAAUAGAAACUAAUUAAGCGAAAGGUGGAUAUUCCCAUAGGAUAGAUAGACGGGGAAGUGCUGGUGUGUCUCUGGGUGGUUUGUUUCGCACAGCUUUUCAUCAGCGUGAUUAUCUGCUCCCAAAACACCCCGCGCAUCGGCCUUUUAGCUGAUACGGGGGCAGGUGGGGUAUUUGGGCAGUUGUAGCCCCCACAGAGCAGUUUUUGGAGAAAACAAUCUAACGCGUCCAGGGGGUGGGGCUGGCAGGAUGCCAGCUCUGAAGGGUGGGCGGCAGAGCCAACUCCACCAGCGGCAGGUGUCAAGGGGACUUUCCUGAAUGGGGUGGCUGUUGUGAAGUAAGUGGCUUUGAAACAGAACUUUCUUACGGGAAGAUGGUUCUGUUCAUGAUACAUUCUUUCUUACAUAACAUAGUAAAGAGUAAACCUAGCUUUCUUACUAAAUGCAGGAAAAAUGCUGUGAGCAGACGGGCCGCACGCAGCGUUUUUCCGAGGACGGCAGAAAUGUUACAGCAAUUCCCCUCCAAACACCUGAGAGCCCCCAAAAGCCUCCCCGGAUGAAACUAUUUACAAAUGCAUGAUCUAACCCAAGCCGGGACUCACCUGCUGGGCCCAGGGGGCAGCUCUGCAUGUCGGGAAGAAGGGCAGAGCGCGGAAGAGAGGCCUGGGCCGACUUCUCCCCAUGAGCCCACCUGUGAGUAGGGGUGUAGGUCUACCUGUGAGUAGGGUGUGAGCCCACCAGAGUAGGGGCCACCUGUGAGUAGGGUGUGAACCCACCUGUGAGUAGGGGUGUGAACCCACCUGUGAGUAGGGUGUGGGCCCACCUGAGAGUAGGGGGUGUGAGCCCACCUGUGAGUAGGGUGUGAACCCACCUGUGCAUAGGGUGUGAGCCCACCUGAGAGUAGGGGUGUGAGCCCACCUGAGAGUAGGGGUGUGAACCCACCUGUGAGUAGGGUGUGAGCCCACCUGAGAGUAGGGGUGUGAGCCCACCUGUGAGUAGGGUGUGAACCCACCUGUGAGUAGGGGUGUGAACCCACCUGUGAGUAGGGUGUGAGCCCACCUGAGAGCAGGGGUGUGAGCCCACCUGAGAGCAGGGGUGUGAGUCCACCUGAGAGCAGGGGUGUGAGCCCACCUGUGAGUAGGGGUGUGAGCCCACCUGUGAGUACGGGUGUGAGUCCACCUGAGAGCAGGGGUGUGAGCCCACCUGUGAGUAGGGUGUGAACCCACCUGUGAGUAGGGGUGUGAACCCACCUGUGAGUAGGGUGUGGGCCCACCUGAGAGUAGGGGUGUGAGUCCACCUGAGAUUAGGGGUGUGAGCCUACCUGUGAGUAGGGUGUGAGCCCACCUGUGAGUAGGGGUGUGAGCCCACCUGAGAGUAGGGUGUUGGACCACCUCCGCAGCCCCCACCCUAAAACAGCAUGGGGGCCCAGUAUCCUGUGUCUAAUUUCCAUGUGCACCCCCCCCCAGGCCUUUACCACGGAGACAGCGUGUGAGGAGUUAACCCGACACCCUGAGGCUGAGAGAGUAGACACCACACGUAAAUGGAGGAGCGGCCAGGACAUGACCGAGCCCUGGGCCCAAGGACCUUGAUCUGCGGCCGCUAAGGAUCAGGGACCUGCCGCCUCAUCCUUCCCCACGGCUCGGGAAAACCGGGCGACGGAGCGGGGGAAGGAAUGGCGGCCGCCGCGGGUCCAGCGAUGGGCGACGCGGCGGCAUUCGCCACUUGGCCCUGGAGUGGCCCCGAGUGACAUCUGCUCGGCCCACCGUCUACGCUUCCGUUUCCGGACGACGAUCUUACUUCCCUUUGAGGAAACUCCCCCGCAGCGUCAGGAACACACGCCCGGAAACCGAAGAGGCCUCUGCGGGAGGCUCCGCAUCCCACCCAGACCCCGGGCUGGGACCAGGCCUGAAUUCUCUCAGGAAAGCUCUGGCCGACGGGGACAGCGCACUACGGCUACACCUGAGGAGCUGGCUGCCUGAAUCCUGAGCCCUCAAAGAGGGACUGUUUUUCCCAGUUUGCUUCAAAUCAGACCCGUGAUUGGCCCAAACUGCAGCUUUCCAGUUCCCUUUGCCGACUUUCAAAGGGGCAGGGAGGCGACUUCACACUUCCUGAAACCUCCUAGGAGGAGGUGGCCUGCUGGCCUCAGGGUGGCCUGACGCACCGGCUAAAGAUAGCAGGGACUCAGAAUAGCUGCGGGCCCUGGAAGGCGCUCUGCCUGCAGCAGCUGCCACUCGGGGCGGCAACACGGCCGCGAGCAGCCUGAGCAGCGCCGGGUGGACCCACGGCGGCUGCAGGGCUGAGGUGUGACCUGGGUAACGCUGAGCUGCCUGAAACGGCUUCUGAUCCCUGAUGGAUGCACAGCCCCAGCAUGCUGGCCCGGCCCGAGACGGGAGGCACCGCAGCCCAGAGCCUCUGGGUCCGCUCACUGGGUUCUCAGGACAGCCGGGCUCUAUCCUGGACUUUAAGAGGGAGAAAGCCCUUGCUUCAAACCCAUGAAAAAAAGAAACCACCAGUGUGGGCGCCGGCUUUACCCACCCUGCUGUCACUCUCCUUAGCGUGCUCCUUGCCAGCCGGGUGCAACAGGCCUCCUGGGAGGGGAGGGGCUCCAGGGAGGGGGCGGUCUGCAGCAGGGGAAGGGGUCCUGGGAGGGGAGGGGCUCUAGGGAAGGGAGGGGGUCCUGGGAGGGGAGGGCUCCUGGGAGGGGCUGUCAGCCGGAGGGCAGGCCAGAGGGGCUGAUUUGUCCCAAGCUCUUCUCUUAGGUUUGCAGCUUAGACCCUGCGUCUGUAUUAUCCACCCAGGAAAUCCAACCCAUCCAUGAAGACAUCAAGAUAAAAAGACGGAGAAUGCCAAUACCAGAGGCAAGAGAUAAGUGGUACUUUUAGUUAAAGCUACAUGGAAACUGACCAUGUGAUACAGGAGCCAAGAGAGUGUGUGGGGGGGAGUUACCAAGUUCAUGGGCCAACAGCCACCCUUCAAGUUCAAGACAAAGCAGGAAACUGUCUGGUAAACACAGCUUCACCAGCCCACAGCCCCGCGGUCACUAGAAACCACCGGAGCCACUUUCCCGCGUGAGACGACGGCGCCUAGUCGUUGGCACAGAGCAUGGAGCACCACGAGCCUAAAUAGUUACUAUAUUUUAAAUCCUUAGGUGCCAUAAACCUAAAAGAUUUGCCCUUUUCAAAAAAGCCACCCUCGAUCUAGGAAAAAGGUCGUCAGAGAAGGGGCCUCGCUCGACCCCUGAAGUGCAAGCACUGCUCACUCUUUCUGAGCCGAGUCAAGGAGAAUGAGUCUCUUGUGCAAAGAAUAUGAGACACGUGGGCUCUCCCCGAACUGGGGCUUCCGACCCGAACUGGCCGCCUGGGUCCAGUUUCCUUCUGGAAACACAUGUUGGGUGCGAGGCCCCGGCACAGCCGCCCUGAGCUGAAUGCUGGGACGCCCGCAGGGCCGGAGAGUGGCUUGGGUGUGUGAGGGACCCCCCUCCUCCGCCCACCGCCCGGCUGGAGCUGAACCAGAGCCUGAUUCCUCGUGUCUAAGCGACUUUGUUUCCACGUCACUGCACUCUCCCUUCACGGGAAGAAAACCAGCGAGGCCCGGGUGGACAGGUGGACGCAGCAGGUUCCCGCAGGCCGGCACGGGGGGCACGUGAAGGGGGUCAGGAAGGAAGACCAGAAAGGCAGACGCGGCCCGGUGCCGAGGCCUUGACGCUGAAUGCCAGGCUGCGGCGGCCGCGAGGGGUAGAGAGCCACCUUCGACACGGAGGUCCCCGGGGAACGCACCCCGACCACAGAAGGCCCCUCGGACUGGGACCACGGAGGUACCCGGACGCCACCCCCAGCGCGCCAGCUCCCUGGGAGGGGGGGGGUCGUGUCCUCUGUGACAGUCCCUGGGUUGAAGCGGGGAACAGCUUCGGCGCUUCCUGCGGUGAGAAGCGCCCUGAGCACCAGCAGGAACCCCCAGACGGCUGCCCAGGACGCCAGCCCAGAGCCUAGGACACCGCCCUCGGCAGAAGCAGCAGGUGCGGCCCAGGGAAGGGCGCUGGCCCUGGGCAGGGGGGGGGGGGGGGAAAUGGGGUAAAGGAAAGCCAACGACUCCUGGAAACGAACCCUGGAUUUGAUCCCGGCUCCUGGCAGAGCUUCGGGAGCCUGGGUAUUUCCUGUGUGGCGGGAGAGCCUUUCGUUAGUCGUACCGGCCCCUAGAGCUCCACCUGCCCAGGUGACUCACAUGGGGCCCCGGACGGCUGCCCACACACUGGUUCCAGGACUGGGGCCCCCACCCCACACUCUGCCACGUGGCCAGGGACGGGCGGAGACCCCAGGGAGCAGCCUGGGAGCCUGGUGGGCAGAGAGUGACCACCCUGACCCCGGGGACAGGGCAGAAGCCUGACCUGGGCCAGCUCCCACCCCAGUCGCUUCCUCGGCGCUGGGGCUGAAUUGCCUUUUACAAUAAAACUGGCAUACGGACUGCUCGUUCCGGGAGCUGCGGGUCAAGCCUGAGGGCGUCGUGGGAACCUGAAUCCACAGCUGGCGGCUCGGAAGUCCAGGUGGCCCCGAGCCUGGUGGCUGCCGUGGACCUGGGCCAACCUGUGGCGGAGUCUGCGCUAACUCCGUGCCAGGACCCCCGCUGGUGCGGGGGAACUGGGUCAGAACCGGCUCCCCGGUGUGGCAGCAGGAGCGUGACGUGGGCGCAGCCAUCCUGAGCCUCGUCCUCCUCGCCUGGCACCGCCUCGGGGAGGACGCAGGAUGCAGGGACCUGUCGCCACCACUGAACCAGACCCCAUCCUGGGUUCCCCACUUUUGGGCCUGACUGUCCCCAGACUUAGAAUGACUCAAGAGGGACGUCACCUCUCAGGGCUGGGGCCCCUCUCCCAGCACCCUACUGAGGAGUUUCACCCGCCUGUGCUCGCCUGAACCUGAAUUUGGGAAACAGCCUUUGGGGACGAGGCUGACCUGCCCUCACUGUGGCCACCUCGUUCUCACACGCCUUCUGCCUUUUGACUUCAAGUCAAACCGAUCUGAUGCUUUUCAACAGCGACGUGGGUGGUGGCGUCCCUACCUUCCACAGGGCGGGGAGGGGACGGGGGCCACCCCUGAGCACCGGGCACCAUCGGGUCCCUCCCGGGGUGGGGAGUGCGCCUGCAGGCUGUCCUGUAUCUCGCCGGCUGGACCGCCUCUGUGGACAGCAGCACAGGACGUGCCCUCUGCACGGCGCAGGCCAGGGCACCACCAGGCCGAUUCAAAGGACGCACGGGCCGCGCGAGGACACCGCUCGCCUUCCGCCAGGGUCCCCUUCUGCUCCUCAGGAGUAACAGAGGCGUUCUGGACGUUCUGAGCUGUGCAGCCCAUUUGCUUUUACUAGGAAAAGCUUUCACCUUUUUUCUGGUUACAAAAACAGUACAUGGUCAGCAUAAACCUCUCAGGACAAGGCAUAGAGACAGACGAAAAUAAUAAUAAUCCACAAUCCUGACAUCCGGCUAACAUUCUUGGGGAUAUUUUUCCACAUUUCUUCUGAGCACAGAUUUACAUGAGUUGAAUCCAUACAAAGGCACACAUAUUAAACAUAGGGUCACGUCAUACACACAGUUUGUAAUAUGCUUUUUCCCCCCAAUACAGCAUAAACUUUCCACAGCAGUAAGCCUAAAUCUACCCCCUCUGUUCAAAGAUCUACACAGCAUGCCCCUGGCAAGAGUCUUCAGUCAUGUACCUGCAGACCGUGGGGUUGCUUUCUUUGCGACAGUCAGUAAUGCCGCAGGGAACAUUUUCUUUUUAUUUUUAUUGAAACAUGGUUGCUGUACGAUGUUAUACGUGCUGCACAGACACCACAGAGUGAUUCGCAAUUUUUAAAGGUUACACCCCCACGCCAGUGAUUGUAGACUAAGGGGCCACUUUAAGACGACCGUCUUUGUGCACCUGGACAGCGACUUCCUGAAGCCAGUUCCGAGAGACGGAGUGGAGAUACGCAGCCUGCACCAAGGAGGAGCAGGCCCAUCCCUCAGCCCACACGUUCAUUAAUCUUAGAUUUUAACAGUGCUUCAAAACAAAGUAAUAAACAAGAAAAUUACAUCAAAACAAUAAAGGACACUCUUUUAUAUGGAUUUGCUUAAAAAAAUUUCCCUUCUAAAAGUUGAAACACCGGGAGCCGAUAAUCAUAAAAUUACCUGAUGUAUCAAGAGGACAGAUCCCAGCCAGAGGCCCCAGCGGAGCCGCUACCCCAGACGGGAGUCGGGUGGGGAGGGCGGCAGGAGCUGGGCUCUGGCCCUGGAUGAAGGGGUGAGAGCUGCCCACGCCUGAGGGGUGGUCCUGGCACCUGCCCUGCCCCCGGGAGGCAGAGCUGGGUCAGCAGCACCGGGUGGCUGGCUGAGUCCCCCUGAGCCCUGGUGGGGGGACAGAAUGACCUCAGGACCACACGCCCACCUCGGACAGACUCCGCCGGAGGGUGCGGUGGAGAGGAGCCUCCCAGGCCCUCUUCCGCAGCGGUGGGCACACCUGCUGAGCGCGGAUGCGAUGUGGGCAGGGCUGCCGGGCCCAGGAACGACCCUGUGGGCGGUGCCCAGUAGCUCACCGGGGGGCUGUCAGGCAGCUCAAGGCCACUCCGGGCUCCGGAGAACCAGCUCACAAAAAGGAAGCAGCCACCGGGCAUCCUGGCCAGAAUCUGUCCCCCGGCUCUGCAGCGCAGCCCCAAGAGUCGGCAUCCGAAGGGACGGCUCGGCCCCUCCCCCAGGAGGCAUCCUGCCCCAAGGCUGCGGGGACCCACCCGGCUUCUGUCCCCGGGAACCAGGGACACUCACAAAGCAGCAGAGAAGAGCAAGCGCCACACGCAGCAGCCACGUGGGCUGACAGGACCGGAUCACGGUCACGUGGGCAGAAAGGGGCGUCUGCAAAGCGCGCCCAGAGGAGGCGGAUUCGAGCGGGGGCCGAGCUGUGGCAGCGGGAAGCCAUCGGCCACCUCCGCCAGGUGGGGCCCCCAGCCCCACACCCUCCUCGGUGGAGUCUGGGGCGACCCGGGGCUCUGGUCUUUAUAGGAGGCUUGCGGUCCGUAAAAGUUGGGCAGGAAGCCACCCAAGUGUCCACUGACAACGACGGACGAACAAGUGACCCAUUCACGCUUAGCCUCGGAAGGAGGACUUCCGACCCUGCUGCAACAAGGGUGAACCCGGAGGGCACCGCGCCGAGGGGACGAGUCCUGCCUGACUCCACCCACGAGGCACCCAGGACCCAGGCCAGUCAGAGUCACGGCGACAGAAAACAGAACGGAGGCCGCGGGGCUGGGGGUGGAGGGAGGCUAGAGUUCAAAGGGGACGAGUUCCGGUUUCAGAGACUGAGUUUCGAGGGUGGUCGGCGCUGGCGGCUCGGAGGAACGCCUCUGAUGUUCGCAUCAUCCAGUGGUUCCAAGGUAAAUGACUGCAAUUAAAAGGGGCUUCACUGUUAUCUCACGAGUCCAGCAGGAACCGCAGGGCAAACAGCCGUGGGCGUGUGCAACCGUCCUGUGCUCGGGAGUCACUGCACCUUCAAGUGUUUCAUUUUUUUUUCUUUUUUAGGGCCACACGUGCGGCAUACGGAAGUUCCUGGGUUCGGGGUCUGAUCAGACGGCAGCUGCCGGCCUACGCCACAGUCACAGCAACACAGGAUCCGAGCCGCACCUGAGAAUAGCGCAGCUUGAGGCAACACCAGAUCCUUAACCCACUGAGCGAGGCCAGGGAUGAAACUCAUGU
rnacentral:lncRNA from 1 species